rnacentral:rRNA from 1 species
CCCUUAGAUGUUCUGGGCUGCACGCGUGCUACACUGAUAUUGCCAAUAUGUCAUUCUUAUCCGAAAUGGAUUGGGUAAUCAAGUAAUGAAAUUUCAUGCUUGGAAUCGGUAAUUACAAUUUUAUCGUGAACGAGGAAUUCCUAGUAAGCACUAGUCAUCAGCUAAUGUUGAUUAUGUCCCUGCCCUUUGUACACACCGCCCGUCGCUACUACUGAUUGGGUGUUCAAGUGAGAUGCUUAGACCCUUGUUGCAUGGUUCAUUAUUGUGCUCCGAAAGGAAAAAGUUUCAAGCUUGAGUGUCUAGAGGAAGUAAAAGUCGUAACA